rnacentral:rRNA from 1 species
AUUGAACGCUGGCGGCAGGCCUAACACAUGCAAGUCGAACGAGUGGCGGACGGGUGAGUAAUGUCUGGGAAACUGCCUGAUGGAGGGGGAUAACUACUGGAAACGGUAGCUAAUACCGCAUACCAUCGGAUGUGCCCAGAUGGGAUUAGCUAGUAGGUGGGGUAAAGGCUCACCUAGGCGACGAUCCCUAGCUGGUCUUCGAGGAUGACAAGCCAAACUGGAACUGAGACACGGUCCAGACUCCUACGGGAGGCAGCAGUGGGGAAUAUUUGACAAUGGGCGCAAGCCUGAUGGAGCAAUGCCGCGUGUGUGAAGAAGGCCUUCGGGUUGUAAAGUACUUUCAUCGGGGAGGCGUUACCCGCAGAAGAAGCAACGGCUAACUCCGUGCCAGCAGCCGCGGUAAUUC